CAGCCGUAAACUAUGCGCGUUAGGUGUAUCGGUGACCACGAGUUACCGAGGUGCCGAAGGGAAACCGUGAAACGUGCCGCCUGGGAAGUACGGUCGCAAGGCUGAAACUUAAAGGAAUUGGUGGGGGAGCACCACAACAGGUGGAGCCUGCGGUUUAAUUGGACUCAACGCCGGGAAGCUCACCGGAUAGGACAGCAGAAUGAUUGCCGGGCUGAAGACCCUGCAUGACUAGCUGAGAGGAGGUGCAUGGCGUCAGUGACU
rnacentral:rRNA from 1 species